rnacentral:rRNA from 1 species
UACGGGGGGGGCAAGCGUUGUUCGGAAUUACUGGGCGUAAAGGGCUCGUAGGCGGCCAACUAAGUCGGACGUGAAAUCCCCAGGCUCAACCUGGGAACUGCGUCCGAUACUGGAUGGCUUGAAUUCGGGAGAGGGAUGCGGAAUUCCAGGUGUAGCGGUGAAAUGCGUAGAUAUCUGGAGGAACACCGGUGGCGAAGGCGGCAUCCUGGACCGACACUGACGCUGAGGAGCGAAAGCCAGGGGAGCAAACGGG